GCCCAUCUUCCUCUACGUUAUAUGUGGGAUGCCUGCCACAGCAUGGCUUGCCAAGCGGUGCCAUGUCCACACCCGGGAUCUGAACCGGCAAACCCUGGGCCACCGAAGUGGAGCGUGCAAACGUAACCAUGAUGCCACCAGGCCAGCCCCCAUUUCUGCUGUUUUAAGCCAGCUGGUUUGGGAGAUUCGUUAUGGCAGCCCCAGGACAUUAGUACAGUCCCUGAUCUUCACAACCCAUCCUGCAGGGAAGGGAACUGAGGUCAGAGAGGUAAGGGCUCGUCCAGGGUGUCGUCUCUGACUGUUUCACACUGUGAUGGUGAAGCUGAGUAGUUGCAACAGAGACUGUGUGCCUGUGAAGCCCGUGGCUCUCCAGCCCGGCACAGAAACAGCCGUCCACCCCUGCUCCAGGGGGUCACAUGAUGACAGCUGCUCUGGAAAAAAUAAAGCAGGGCUGGCACCGUUCCUCUGUGCUGGUCAGUCCUCCCAGCUCCUGGAUUUCUGGGUCUAGCUGCUGCCCCUCUGCAGACGGACCCUUCUGGAGCUCGGCCGUGGGUGGCUCUGCCCCUCACCAUCCUGCAGGACACAGUGCCUCCCAGCGGGCUCCUCACGCGGCCGUCCCUGUAGCUGUGAUGCGAAGGGAGGUCGUGGAGGGCGCCCAGGACCCACUGGAGGCUUUGCCUGGAGUCGGGGAAGGAGGUACAGGGCUCAGGGCUGUGGCUGAAGGCAUGCCUCCUGGCUCUUGGGGCACUGCUGUUCCGGGAAGGCCCCUCCUCCCCCUGGAAGGCCCCUCCUCCCCCUGCUGGAGUCUUAGAAGCAGCAGCAGUCCCCAGACCCUGGCCGGAGGGGCCGG
rnacentral:lncRNA from 1 species